rnacentral:rRNA from 1 species
GGGCCUAAUACAUGCAAGUCGAACGAACUCUGGUAUUGAUUGGUGCUUGCAUCAUGAUUUACAUUUGAGUGAGUGGCGAACUGGUGAGUAACACGUGGGAAACCUGCCCAGAAGCGGGGGAUAACACCUGGAAACAGAUGCUAAUACCGCAUAACAACUUGGACCGCAUGGUCCGAGNUUGAAAGAUGGCUUCGGCUAUCACUUUUGGAUGGUCCCGCGGCGUAUUAGCUAGAUGGUGGGGUAACGGCUCACCAUGGCAAUGAUACGUAGCCGACCUGAGAGGGUAAUCGGCCACAUUGGGACUGAGACACGGCCCAAACUCCUACGGGAGGCAGCAGUAGGGAAUCUUCCACAAUGGACGAAAGUCUGAUGGAGCAACGCCGCGUGAGUGAAGAAGGGUUUCGGCUCGUAAAACUCUGUUGUUAAAGAAGAACAUAUCUGAGAGUAACUGUUCAGGUAUUGACGGUAUUUAACCAGAAAGCCACGGCUAACUACGUGCCAGCAGCCGCGGUAAUACGUAGGUGGCAAGCGUUGUCCGGAUUUAUUGGGCGUAAAGCGAGCGCAGGCGGUUUUUUAAGUCUGAUGUGAAAGCCUUCGGCUCAACCGAAGAAGUGCAUCGGAAACUGGGAAACUUGAGUGCAGAAGAGGACAGUGGAACUCCAUGUGUAGCGGUGAAAUGCGUAGAUAUAUGGAAGAACACCAGUGGCGAAGGCGGCUGUCUGGUCUGUAACUGACGCUGAGGCUCGAAAGUAUGGGUAGCAAACAGGAUUAGAUACCCUGGUAGUCCAUACCGUAAACGAUGAAUGCUAAGUGUUGGAGGGUUUCCGCCCUUCAGUGCUGCAGCUAACGCAUUAAGCAUUCCGCCUGGGGAGUACGGCCGCAAGGCUGAAACUCAAAGGAAUUGACGGGGGCCCGCACAAGCGGUGGAGCAUGUGGUUUAAUUCGAAGCUACGCGAAGAACCUUACCAGGUCUUGACAUACUAUGCAAAUCUAAGAGAUUAGACGUUCCCUUCGGGGACAUGGAUACAGGUGGUGCAUGGUUGUCGUCAGCUCGUGUCGUGAGAUGUUGGGUUAAGUCCCGCAACGAGCGCAACCCUUAUUAUCAGUUGCCAGCAUUAAGUUGGGCACUCUGGUGAGACUGCCGGUGACAAACCGGAGGAAGGUGGGGAUGACGUCAAAUCAUCAUGCCCCUUAUGACCUGGGCUACACACGUGCUACAAUGGAUGGUACAACGAGUUGCGAACUCGCGAGAGUAAGCUAAUCUCUUAAAGCCAUUCUCAGUUCGGAUUGUAGGCUGCAACUCGCCUACAUGAAGUCGGAAUCGCUAGUAAUCGCGGAUCAGCAUGCCGCGGUGAAUACGUUCCCGGGCCUUGUACACACCGCCCGUCACACCAUGAGAGUUUGUAACACCCAAAGUCGGUGGGGUAACUACU